GCCCACCGAGCCAUCGAUCAGUAGGGGUUCUGAGAGGAAGGUCCCCCACAUUGGAACUGAGACACGGUCCAAACUCCUACGGGAGGCAGCAGUGAGGAAUAUUGGUCAAUGGGCGAGAAGCCUGAACCAGCCAAGUAGCGUGCAGGAUGACGGCCCUAUGGGUAGUAAACUGCUUUUAUGCGGGGAUAAAGUUCACUACGUGUAGUGUUUUGUAGGUACCGCAUGAAUAAGGACCGGCUAAUUCCGUGCCAGCAGCCGCGGUAAUACGGAAGGUCCGGGCGUUAUCCGGAUUUAUUGGGUUUAAAGGGAGCGCAGGCCGGAGGUCAAGCGUGACGUGAAAUGUAGCCGCUCAACGGCUGAACUGCGUCGCGAACUGGCUUUCUUGAGUGAGUUCGAUGUGGGCGGAAUUCGUGGUGUAGCGGUGAAAUGCUUAGAUAUCACGAAGAACUCCGAUUGCGAAGGCAGCCCACAAGGCCUUUACUGACGCUAAAGCUCGAAGGUGCGGGUAUCGAACAGGAUUAGAUACCCUGGUAGUCCGCACGGUAAACGAUGGAUGCCCGCUGUCUGCGAUAUACUGUGAGCGGCCAAGAGAAAUCGUUAAGCAUCCCACCUGGGGAGUACGCCGGCAACGGUGAAACUCAAAGGAAUUGACGGGGGCCCGCACAAGCGGAGGAACAUGUGGUUUAAUUCGAUGAUACGCGAGGAACCUUACCCGGGCUUGAACUGCAGGAGAAGGAUACAGAGAUGUUGACGCCCUUCGGGGCUCCUGUGGAGGUGCUGCAUGGUUGUCGUCAGCUCGUGCCGUGAGGUGUCGGCUUAAGUGCCAUAACGAGCGCAACCCUUUUCUUCAGUUGCCAUCAGGUGAUGCUGGGCACUCUGGAGACACUGCCACCGUAAGGUGUGAGGAAGGUGGGGAUGACGUCAAAUCAGCACGGCCCUUACGUCCGGGGCUACACACGUGUUACAAUGGGUGGUACAGAGAGUCGGUCGUCUGCAAAUGCGAUCCAAUCCUUAAAGCCAUCCUCAGUUCGGAUUGGGGUCUGCAACCCGACCCCAUGAAGCUGGAUUCGCUAGUAAUCGCGCAUCAGCCAUGGCGCGGUGAAUACGUUCCCGGGCCUUGCACACACCGCCCGUCAAG
rnacentral:rRNA from 1 species